rnacentral:rRNA from 1 species
CCUACGGGGGGCAGCAGUGAGGAAUAUUGGUCAAUGGACGAGAGUCUGAACCAGCCAAGCAGCGUGAAGGAUGACUGCCCUAUGGGUUGUAAACUUCUUUUAUAUGGGAAUAAAAUGUUCCACGUGUGGGAUUUUGUAUGUACCAUAUGAAUAAGGAUCGGCUAACUCCGUGCCAGCAGCCGCGGUACUACGGAGGAUCCGAGCGUUAUCCGGAUUUAUUGGGUUUAAAGGGAGCGUAGGUGGAUUGUUAAGUCAGUUGUGAAAGUUUGCGGCUCAACCGUAAAAUUGCAGUUGAAACUGGCAGUCUUGAGUACAGUAGAGGUGGGCGGAAUUCGUGGUGUAGCGGUGAAAUGCUUAGAUAUCACGAAGAACUCCGAUUGCGAAGGCAGCUCACUGGACUGCAACUGACACUGAGGCUCGAAAGUGUGGGUAGCAAACAGGAUUAGAUACCCGAGUAGUC